UUGGUCGUUCAGCGCAGGUGAGCGAAUGAAAAAAGAAAUGGCGUUGCACACCAUCUUGGAUUUUACCGCGUCGUUUAAUGGAAAUUGCGCGUGCUCCCUAGGCUGAGGUUUUGUUACUUUACACCAUCCUGAUAUCGUGGAGAAGUCCGAUUUGCUUCGAAGAAACUGAUGAUGAUAACUUGGAGCAGCGAGCAGGCACCCACAGUCCGUGACUUCAUCCAGCCCAUAAAUCCAGUCCCCCGGGGCGUCUGUCUGAGAUCUGCCAGGCUCAUCAGUGGAGGAGAGGAGAAGGCUAACUGGGAGCCCUUACCGGCAGUAAAUCUGACCAGGGAGGGGAACCUGCAGUGGCCACACUUCCACUGCAGCCCGCUGCUGCUGUCAUUGCUGAAGGCUCAGGGUAGUAAUGGGUGGCUGGGACGCAUUAUGUUUGAACAUCCCCCAGAUCUACAUCUCCUAUCAACAUCCAGCAGCCCAGGACAUCAGUGGCAAAGGAGGAGAACUUGCAAGCUUGUUUUAACUUCUGCAUCUAUUGGAGAGAAGAAGCAAAAGCAUGGAAGUAAGGAUUAAGAGCUCUAAGCUUAUGAAGACAUUUUGAAAGGUCAGUUCAGCCAUUUCAUCCUAACUGAUUAUGGUGUUGAUGAGUGUUUAGAUGGUGAAGCUGCAGGCACAGUUAUUUAUUUUUUUAUAGACACUGCAGUCCAGUGUAAGGAUAUCAGACUGUAUUUUUAACAUUUGUAUGACUCCUAUUAUUUGUCUCCUUAUAUUUUGUGGUUACACUUUUAAGAAGUUGCAGAUACAAAUAAAGUACAGACAUUAGAUCUGCGACACAAAAUUGUAUUUUCUUUUUAUGGAAGCAGAAUGAAAUAUGCACACAAAUGAACUGAAUCCUGGGUAAUAUUGUUUGUUGUCAUCCUGCAUUGCUGGUGGACAUGAAAUAAUACACACACCAAAUGCAAAACAGGAUGAUGAUUACUUUAAUGAGAAACAUAUGCAGAGAUUACUUACAUUACAGUAGAUUUUACAGUAUAGUUUAUUGUAUGUCACUUUUUUUAUAUGAAUCAGCAUAUGUGUAUAAUUGAAAAUUUAUAAAAAGAUAAAAUGUUAUGGCUAUUAUUAAAGUUUGACCACUUUAAUUACCAAAUGAUGACAUUGGAUUUGUAAAAAGAAGUAAAAAAAAAUACUGCCACUCUUCAGUAUAUAACUCCUGCAAUUUGGUGAAAAACUCACUAUAAAAUAAUAAAAAAUAUACAACUUACAAAAUGCAGAAAGGACACUGGGGCUUGGCUGGUUUUUCAUGUACAUUCGACAAAGUUCUUGAGUCAACUUCUACAAAAUUAAGUUUCUAGUAAAUACGGUUUCAAGUGUAAAUAAAAUAGUUAUGCCUUCACUGUAGUAAAGCAUUGCAUUGUACUGCAGCAGAUCCUAAUUAAUUUAAAACAUUGAUGCUCAUUUAGCUGCCUGCGGGUCACAUCUGGCUCCACCUUAAAACUGCCCACCCGAUCAAUUUCUCCGCUUUAAGAGCUAGUGCCUCGCAGUCAAUUUAAUCUGUAGUUUUAGGAAACCUUAUUUAAUUGCAGUUUAUACUGUGAGGUUGGAUGGCUAAACAUUGAAUUACUUGUAUACUGUACAUCUACACCGACUCUUGGAACGGACUUCCACAGAUUCUUGGACAAAUUCAGCCAAGCUAAAUGGUCUUUUUGUGUUUAUUCUGACCUUAAGCAAGGUCAUGAACAAAUAUUUCUACUUCAGGAUAUUUCCAGGAUUCCACAAUAGUCAGAGCAGGCUUUAAGAGAACCAUUUAAAUGCGAGAGUUAAACCAUUGAGGUUUAAGGUGGCUGGCUUAAGGUUGUGUAUUUACUCUGUCUUUACAAUGUCUGGCUGUGUUCACAUUGUCAGUUGAAUAUUUAAAUUGUAAGUACUUUGAUUCAUAUCCUAAAUAGAGAUUCCUUUGCUCACAUGUUGCAGCUGCUCUUAGUAACAGUAGAUAUUUUGUUUCCUGCAGAAAUACAAACACAUUAGAUUACGGUUUGAUCUGCACACAUCUAACCAGUUUUUGCUCAUAUGGUGCAGUCCAUAGGAAAUAACUUACCAAAAAGGCUGUGAAUCAAAUAAAACAUGGUUUGUUGUGAUAUAGAAAAUUGUGGUUACAAACAAUGAAAACCCACCCCACAACACACUAAU